UCUCGAUCAAGAUACCACCGGGAACAUCUCUCCAACAGCUGCAAGAUCAUCUUCAUCAGAGCUGCACAAGAAUCAAGAGGUUCCCCUUCAUCGGCAACACAGCUCUCUGUCGGCUGAUCCGCCCCCUCCAACAUGCUCCUUCCACUGUUCUACCUGAGCUUGCUCGUGGCCCUGACAGGUGCCGACGCGGGGGGUUCAGGGGCUCCUAAGAGUUUUUCUCUGCCACAUACGUUGGACAUCAGCUCCUGUCCCAUCAGCUACUAUGGCCUGAAAUACACCUCUGUCACCGUGA